rnacentral:rRNA from 1 species
AACGAACGCUGGCGGCAUGCCUAACACAUGCAAGUCGAACGAGACCUUCGGGUCUAGUGGCGCACGGGUGCGUAACGCGGGGGAACCUGCCCUUAGGUUCGGAAUAACUCCCCGAAAGGGGUGCUAAUACCGGAUAAUGUCUUCGGACCAAAGAUUUAUCGCCUUUGGAUGGGCCCGCGUUGGAUUAGCUAGUUGGUAGGGUAAAAGCCUACCAAGGCGACGAUCCAUAGCUGGUCUGAGAGGAUGAUCAGCCACACUGGGACUGAGACACGGCCCGGAAUCCUACGGGAGGCAGCAGUGGGGAAUAUUGGACAAUGGGCGAAAGCCUGAUGCAGCAAUGCCGCGUGAGUGAUGAAGGCCUUAGGGUUGUAAAGCUCUUUUACCCGGGAUGAUAAUGACAGUACCGGGAGAAUAAGCUCCGGCUAACUCCGUG